CCAAAACACAAGUGUCUUUUCUCUUUCACAGCACUUCGAUGGGGAACUUGGGGUGGAAGAGCAUCAUGCGUUGUGUACCUACAAACCAGGGUAAGCUUGUCCGUAGCUGAGGGAGAAGCCCGGCGCCUCCUGCCCGCAUGGAAAGGGUGCCGAGAGGAAUCUCCCACCUGGGCACCCCGCGGGCCGGCGCUGUCCACGCCCCCGCCUCGGCCGAACUGCGGGACCACCCCAUCAAAAAGCGCUUCCUGCCAAAACCGCCUCUCCUGGGAGCGGCUGGAAGAAGUAUGAAGGGACUAUGUGGCAAGGCAGAGGUAGGAAGAGAGAAGAGGGACACAGAAGGAGGAAACAGACUUCUUCUCCAAAUUUGCCAAGUCCACACCUGCGGGAUCUCGGAGAACUGGUAAGUUCUCAUAUUUUGAACUUCUUCCCUCCUUGGCAGUGGCUUUAAAAAGGAUUAAGGGAGAGAACAGUUGCAGAAAAAGCCCUCAAACCUCAAAAUACUACAUGUUUGGAAGGUCAGAGAGGCUGCCUUCUCCAGAUCUGCAGGGGCUCCAGGGUUCAAAUCUGAAUCCCGAGCUGCUGUGAUAUCCUGCCCAGCACCACGUCUUCUCAUUCAGGAAUACAACUUCCAUGGGCUAGUUGUCUGUUUUCCCUCAGCAUUAGCUUGGCUGGGUAAGUACAACUGAGCAGCAUUCGUGUAAGCCAUACACAUCUUACCAGUGAUCUCCUAACAGGGGAAUAUUGUCAGAGUGAAAAUUUACCUGAUUUUCU
rnacentral:lncRNA from 1 species